rnacentral:rRNA from 1 species
GGGUUGUGAGGUUAAGCGACUAAGCGUACACGGUGGAUGCCCUGGCAGUCAGAGGCGAUGAAGGGCGUGCUAAUCUGCGAUAAGCGCCGGUAAGGUGAUAUGAACCGUUAUAACCGGCGAUACCCGAAUGGGGAAACCCAGUGUGAUUCGUCACACUAUCAUUAACUGAAUCCAUAGGUUAAUGAGGCGAACCGGGGGAACUGAAACAUCUAAGUACCCCGAGGAAAAGAAAUCAACCGAGAUUCCCCCAGUAGCGGCGAGCGAACGGGGAGGAGCCCAGAGCCUGAAUCAGCAUGUGUGUUAGUGGAAGCGUCUGGAAAGGCGCGCGAUACAGGGUGACAGCCCCGUACACAAAAGCGCAUGUGCUGUGAGCUCGAUGAGUAGGGCGGGACACGUGGUAUCCUGUCUGAAUAUGGGGGGACCAUCCUCCAAGGCUAAAUACUCCUGACUGACCGAUAGUGAACCAGUACCGUGAGGGAAAGGCGAAAAGAACCCCGGCGAGGGGAGUGAAAAAGAACCUGAAACCGUGUACGUACAAGCAGUGGGAGCACAGGUUUACCUGUGUGACUGCGUACCUUUUGUAUAAUGGGUCAGCGACUUAUAUUCUGUAGCAAGGUUAACCGAAUAGGGGAGCCGGAGGGAAACCGAGUCUUAACCGGGCGUUAAGUUGCAGGGUAUAGACCCGAAACCCGGUGAUCUAGCCAUGGGCAGGUUGAAGGUUGGGUAACACUAACUGGAGGACCGAACCGACUAAUGUUGAAAAAUUAGCGGAUGACCUGUGGCUGGGGGUGAAAGGCCAAUCAAACCGGGAGAUAGCUGGUUCUCCCCGAAAGCUAUUUAGGUAGCGCCUCGUGAAUUCAUCUCCGGGGGUAGAGCACUGUUUCGGCUAGGGGGCCAUCCCGGCUUACCAACCCGAUGCAAACUGCGAAUACCGGAGAAUGUUAUCACGGGAGACACACGGCGGGUGCUAACGUCCGUCGUGAAGAGGGAAACAACCCAGACCGCCAGCUAAGGUCCCAAAGUCAUGGUUAAGUGGGAAACGAUGUGGGAAGGCCCAGACAGCCAGGAUGUUGGCUUAGAAGCAGCCAUCAUUUAAAGAAAGCGUAAUAGCUCACUGGUCGAGUCGGCCUGCGCGGAAGAUGUAACGGGGCUAAACCAUGCACCGAAGCUGCGGCAGCGAUUUGCUGGAGGUAUCAGAAGUGCGAAUGCUGACAUAAGUAACGAUAAAGCGGGUGAAAAGCCCGCUCGCCGGAAGACCAAGGGUUCCUGUCCAACGUUAAUCGGGGCAGGGUGAGUCGACCCCUAAGGCGAGGCCGAAAGGCGUAGUCGAUGGGAAACGGGUUAAUAUUCCCGUACUUGGUGUUACUGCGAAGGGGGGACGGAGAAGGCUAUGUUGGCCGGGCGACGGUUGUCCCGGUUUAAGCGUGUAGGUGUGUGUUCCAGGUAAAUCCGGUUCACUUUAACACUGAGGCGUGACGACGAGGCACUACGGUGCUGAAGCAACAAAUGCCCUGCUUCCAGGAAAAGCCUCUAAGCAUCAGGUAACAUCAAAUCGUACCCCAAACCGACACAGGUGGUCAGGUAGAGAAUACCAAGGCGCUUGAGAGAACUCGGGUGAAGGAACUAGGCAAAAUGGUGCCGUAACUUCGGGAGAAGGCACGCUGACACGUAGGUGAAGUGAUUUACUCAUGGAGCUGAAGUCAGUCGAAGAUACCAGCUGGCUGCAACUGUUUAUUAAAAACACAGCACUGUGCAAACACGAAAGUGGACGUAUACGGUGUGACGCCUGCCCGGUGCCGGAAGGUUAAUUGAUGGGGUCAGCGCAAGCGAAGCUCCUGAUCGAAGCCCCGGUAAACGGCGGCCGUAACUAUAACGGUCCUAAGGUAGCGAAAUUCCUUGUCGGGUAAGUUCCGACCUGCACGAAUGGCGUAAUGAUGGCCAGGCUGUCUCCACCCGAGACUCAGUGAAAUUGAACUCGCUGUGAAGAUGCAGUGUACCCGCGGCAAGACGGAAAGACCCCGUGAACCUUUACUAUAGCUUGACACUGAACAUUGAGCCUUGAUGUGUAGGAUAGGUGGGAGGCUUUGAAGCGUGGACGCCAGUCUGCAUGGAGCCGACCUUGAAAUACCACCCUUUAAUGUUUGAUGUUCUAACGUGGACCCGUGAUCCGGGUUGCGGACAGUGUCUGGUGGGUAGUUUGACUGGGGCGGUCUCCUCCUAAAGAGUAACGGAGGAGCACGAAGGUUGGCUAAUCCUGGUCGGACAUCAGGAGGUUAGUGCAAUGGCAUAAGCCAGCUUGACUGCGAGCGUGACGGCGCGAGCAGGUGCGAAAGCAGGUCAUAGUGAUCCGGUGGUUCUGAAUGGAAGGGCCAUCGCUCAACGGAUAAAAGGUACUCCGGGGAUAACAGGCUGAUACCGCCCAAGAGUUCAUAUCGACGGCGGUGUUUGGCACCUCGAUGUCGGCUCAUCACAUCCUGGGGCUGAAGUAGGUCCCAAGGGUAUGGCUGUUCGCCAUUUAAAGUGGUACGCGAGCUGGGUUUAGAACGUCGUGAGACAGUUCGGUCCCUAUCUGCCGUGGGCGCUGGAGAACUGAGGGGGGCUGCUCCUAGUACGAGAGGACCGGAGUGGACGCAUCACUGGUGUUCGGGUUGUCAUGCCAAUGGCACUGCCCGGUAGCUAAAUGCGGAAGAGAUAAGUGCUGAAAGCAUCUAAGCACGAAACUUGCCCCGAGAUGAGUUCUCCCUGAGACUUAGAGUCUCCUGAAGGAACGUUGAAGACGACGACGUUGAUAGGCCGGGUGUGUAAGCGCAGCGAUGCGUUGAGCUAACCGGUACUAAUGAACCGUGAGGCUUAACCUUACAACGCCGAAG